rnacentral:sRNA from 1 species
ACCGGGCAUGGUGGUGCACACCUGUAAUCCCAGUGACUUGGGAGGUUUAGGCAGGAGGAUUGCAAGUUUGAGGCCAAUCUCAGCAAUUUAACAAGACCCUGUCUCAA